rnacentral:rRNA from 1 species
UACGGGGGGGGCAAGCGUUGUUCGGAAUUACUGGGCGUAAAGGGCGCGUAGGCGGCCAACUAAGUCAGACGUGAAAUCCCUCGGCUUAACCGGGGAACUGCGUCUGAUACUGGAUGGCUUGAAUCCGGGAGAGGGAUGCGGAAUUCCAGGUGUAGCGGUGAAAUGCGUAGAUAUCUGGAGGAACACCGGUGGCGAAGGCGGCAUCCUGGACCGGCAUUGACGCUGAGGAGCGAAAGCGAGGGGAGCAAACGGG